AACGAACGCUGGCGGCGUGUCUUAAGCAUGCAAGUCGUGCGGCAAGGGUAGCAAUACCCCUAGAGCGGCGGACUGGUGAGUAACGCGUGGGUGAUCUACCCUUGGGAUGGGGAUAGCCACUAGAAAUAGUGGGUAAUACCGAAUACGUUCCCCCGAUUUUGAUUGGGGGAGGAAAAGCGCUUCGGCGCUGCCCGAGGAUGAGCCCGCGUCCCAUUAGCUAGUUGGUGAGGUAACGGCCCACCAAGGCGAUGAUGGGUAGGCGGCCUGAGAGGGUGUACGCCCACACUGGGACGGAGAUACGGCCCAGACUCCUGCGGGAGGCAGCAGCUAAGAAUAUUCCGCAAUGGACGAAAGUCUGACGGAGCGACGCCGCGUGGAUGACGAAGGCCGAAAGGUUGUAAAGUCCUUUUGUUGGGGAAGAAUAAGCGCGGGAGGGAAUGCCCGCGUGAUGACAUGAACCGACGAAUAAGCCCCGGCUAACUACGUGCCAGCCGCCGCAGUAA
rnacentral:rRNA from 1 species